AAUAAAUUAUUAUAAUGUCACAGUAGUGGUUCAUUAGACCGCUAGAUGGGGUAUAUGUACCAAGCUAUUAUUUAAUUAUAAUUUAUACAUAUAAUAAUUAAAGUGUAUAUAUGGUAUAUGAAUGUAUAUUAUAUGACAUUAUAAAAAUAUAUUUUACCUUUCUAUUUCUAAUUUCCUAUAUUUGAAAACUAAAUCAUAGUUAUAAAAUGUAGUAGACACAUAAUUUACUAUAUUAACUAGACACAUAUAACACACAUUUACAAGAAAUCAAAUAAAAUUAUUUUUAAUUACUUUUUUUAAUAGGAUAUAUUGUUAUUUGAUAUUAAAGUAUCAUUAUUCAUGGCGAAUACAAGCAUUGAAUGUAAUGAUUUGUAUCUUAAUAAUUCAACAGAUCGUAAUAAUGAAUUCUAGCAGCAAAAUCACCAAGUUAAUGAAUUAAAAUGUCAUAAGGAGAUGUAAGAGUUGGAAUAGUCUUACACUGAUUUCUUAUACAAGUAACACAGGUCGACAAAGUAACACAUUAUUCUUAUCCUAGAAAAUUCCUUAGUUAAGCGUUUCGCGAAUGUGCCGUGAUAUUGAUAAUAUAAAAGCGUAAACAUUGCACGGAAACUCCGUUUCUCUCUUAAGUCUUAAGUAUGACAUUUUCAGAAAAUCAAUAGUUGGCGAUGUAAUCCCCUGGUAAUGUUACUUAAUUACUUUAGUCCACAUAUCAAGUUAACGUAUGUGCAAUUCGGGCUUUAGGUAAAUAAUGGAGCACACUACCUAUACUAUAUUUAGGACGCGUGAUCUGAAGCAGAGCAUUUCACGAAUUUCAGCGAGGAUGUUUGAGAGAUGCUAAUUAAUAUUGACUCACAUCGGCGUAUCACGUUUACACGAUUUAAUCGUGUGAUGCGUUCAUCUUUAUUCGAGGUCACAAAUAUAAUUUGAUAUAUCUGCAUUCAUUCGCAUUUUAACAAUGCCGCUUGUGCAGCAAUCUCUCGUAUCAGGAAACUUCAUGGAUUAUAGCGUAUGAAUGAUGUUGCUUUGUCGACUUGUGUUAUCUGUAUAAGAAAUCAGUGUAGGUAAGAUUAUUCCGACAUUAUUCUUACAUCUUCUUGCAGAUGAGAUUUUAAUUCAACUUGAUGAUUUUGCUGCUAGAAUUCAUUAUUACGACUUGUGUUGAACUAUUAAAAUACAAAUCAUUACAUUCAAUAUGCAUUCGUAUUCCUAUUGUAUUCGUGAAAAUAAAAUUUUAUCAAUGGAUUAUUUAAAUUUGAAUUUUUGUAUUGCUCAAGUUUCAAGAUAUAUAACUAUUAUUAUAAUUAUAAUAUAUUGUCAUAUUAUUGUCACACGAUUCAUGAUUUUAAUAAGAUGAAAGAAAAAUAUUCCAAAAACUAGCGGUUUAAUAAAUUUUAAAAAUAUAAGUGUAUAUAUGGUAUCUUCGUUUUUCUCGUAAUCACGAAGAUAUUUAACUUUGAGCAUUAAAACUGUAGUUAGCCUGCCAUUAAAUUUUUGCGAACGAAAAGUUAAGCGUAAAUUCGUCAAAGGACGUGCCAUUAAAGGCGCAUUUGAGACCUUUCCGUUUUAACUUGAAGGAAAUGUAACUUUCUUGCUUCUUUAAAGAGUUACUUUUAAAUCCCAUUUCCGAGGUCCGUGUAGUACAACGUGCAGUUUUAAAGAGUGCGGUUAAGAAAAUUUUACUAUUUUUCUCAAAGCAUGUACAUCUCGCACAGUAAGCUGAAAAGCUGAGAGCAGAAACUUUCCAAUCUGUGUGAUCCUUAAAUCGCAUGAAGAAGUUUUACGAGCAUUUUUAUUUUAAGCACGACAUCUAACGACAGCUUCGCAUUGCGAGUGCGAAAUAUGGAAAUCAGCUUAACGGAAAAGUGAGAUUCGCAUAGAAAACAUGCGGGUGGCAGCGAUAUGUCUCUCCCCGGUGUCCACUAUUUGAGCAACAAGUGUGCCGAUGGAGGGGUUCAAGAAAAUAUGCUGCUCUUCGCGCGAUAAACUUUGACAUAAGAUCUACACAAUGCAUUAAGGAAUAACCAUUGGUCAGGAAAAAAAUGAUCGAUCGACGCCGAUAAAUAUUUUUACGAAACAAUUGCCACGGAUCGAAGAGAUGUGUAAAAAAAAAAACGAAAUGAAGAAGGACAUAAUAUAUUGGUUGGACAUUUGUGUGCGGUCGAUGAACCGGAAGCUUCAGUCAAGGACCACUGUCAUCGAUUUUCACCAGUAUGUCGCGAUUGACGAAUAAUAGAGUGUGUCGUUGUAAGAGAAUCAUGACGCGAAACCGACUGAGGAGAAGAGAAAAGGGAAAGGAAACUGAAUGACAAAUUAAAAUUUAAUGUAUCGCGAAAGAGUGGCCGGUGUGCCGCAGAGAGGAACAUUACCUUGAGCUGUACGCGCACGCGGAAUGAAAAUUCUCCGCUUGUCAGACUGUCAGAGAAAGAAAUAUCCGGCAGGGGAGAGGUAGGAUAACUUGCCUGUGCCGUCAGGGAAUUCUUAUUUUCUCUCUUCCCUUACCCGCUCACCGCGUAAAGCGUUUUUGCUAUCCAUUUUCCCGGCACGUUCAAUACUUUAGGUAGAGAUGCUCCGAAAUUCUCAUUGCUGCAAAGAAGGCAAGUGACGACGCAGGGAAGACACGCAAGAAAAUAAGUUCCAGAUGUGCAAAAUAACGCUGCUCUCCCCUUUUGUUUUUUCUCUUCCAGAAAAUCUUUCCCUCUCUAGGAAAUCUUCCGGAAAAUAUAUAUAAGAUCCGUGGGAUGAGUGGGCGUAAAUAAUGAAGGAUCAUUGGCGGUAGCGUAAGCUGUCAUAGUAAUUGAAGUCAUAGAAUUGAUGUGCUAGAAAACAUAUUCCUAAAAACUUUUUCGUUUCUUAAAAACUAAGCUUUCAUACGUAUGUUAAUAUAGUAGAAGCAUAAAUACGCGUUACACAUCUUGUUAAAAAAAAAUAGCAAAAGAGAGAUAAGAGAUAAUAAAGAAAGCAAUAGAUGAUAAAACAAAGAGAUAAUAAAAAAUAUAAGAAAGAGAUUAUACAUUGUUAUAUAUACAUAUAUAUAUUAUUGAAGUAUAGAUUUGUUAUUCUUUAAGACAAUCUUUAUAUAAAUUUUAAUUUUGCGUACAUGAAUUAUAUAGGACAAUUUUAGAUAAAAAUUGAAAUAAUUUUAUUUUUCUAUAAUACAAUUUAAUUGAUCGCACGAGCAGUUAUAAAUUUCGACAAAAAGCUGUUAUUUAGACAAUCUAAAAUUAAGAGGCUUAUGAAUAUAUUUCGUAACAUACAUAUAUUUAUUGCUUUAUUUGCAAUAUUUCUGCGCAACUUCCAAUUUAAACACAGUUUUAUUUCCAGUCUCUUAUUAACGUAGAAAAUUAUUGGCGAUAUUUAGAGGACUUGAUCGAAUAGAAUUCAUCAACGAUUAAUACAAAUCUAUAAUCUACAGUUUAUUAUGUGUAACGACCGACUGAUCGAAGAGCGACAUAUUUUUACAAUAUUUUUUAGAGUAACUUUAAUCGAGCAUGAGAUGAAAUCGAUAUUAAAUGCGUAUACGCGAAAAUAUGCGAUACGUUGAGAGGGUACCACAAUUAUACCGUAAAUAAAUUUAUGUUUUGCAAUUACACGAAAGGUGUUGCGCCCCUGCAUCGACUUUUGCGGUCUCUUCGUUAUUGACUCGUAAAAGGCCCCUGAAAAACAUUAAAGUCAGCAGGGAACGAGUAAACCCAAUGUGUUCCCCUUCUCUUCUGCCCCUCAAAAGAAUGUAUUAUUCAUGCCUCUAUGCGAGACUCUGAGAAAAUUCUCUGUGUUCUCACAUUUCGAUUCAUCAUACACCUAAGAAUUUAUGUUCUUUCUGAACACAAAACGAGGAGCACGAUAACAAUAAUCGAUUAUUUCUCGUGAUCGAUUAUCUUUAAUAUAGAAAGUUAUAUUCGCGUUAACGUCAAGUAUUUUGAUGGAUGCUACUAAUUCGUAAACAAUUGACAUGUUACCGUUAAUAAAUCUUUAAAAGCAAAA